GAUGAACGCUGGCGGCGUGCCUAAUACAUGCAAGUCGAACGCUUCACUUCGGUGAAGAGUGGCGAACGGGUGAGUAAUACAUAAGUAACCUGGCAUCUACAGGGGGAUAACUGAUGGAAACGUCAGCUAAGACCGCAUAGGUGUAGAGAUCGCAUGAACUCUAUAUGAAAAGUGCUACGAGACUGGUAGAUGAUGGACUUAUGGCGCAUUAGCUUGUUGGUAGGGUAACGGCCUACCAAGGCGACGAUGCGUAGCCGACCUGAGAGGGUGACCGGCCACACUGGGACUGAGACACGGCCCAGACUCCUACGGGAGGCAGCAGUAGGGAAUUUUCGGCAAAGGGGGAAACCCUGACCGAGCAACGCCGCGUGAAGGAAGAAGUAAUUCGUUAUGUAAACUUCUGUCAUAGAGGAAGAACGGUGGAUAUAGGGAAUGAUAUCCAAGUGACGGUACUCUAUAAGAAAGCCACGGCUAACUACGUG
rnacentral:rRNA from 1 species